rnacentral:rRNA from 1 species
GAUGAACGCUGGCGGCGUGCCUAAUACAUGCAAGUCGAGCGAACGGACGAGAAGCUCGUUUCUUUGCUGUUAGCGGCGGACGGGCGAGUAACACGUGGAUAACCUACUUCUUUGUCUGGGAUGACUACGGGAAACCGGAGCUACUACUGGAUCAUAUUUUGAACCGCAUGGUUCAAAAGUGCUAGACGGUCUUGCUGUCACUUAUAGACGAUUCCGCGUUGCAUUAGCUAGUUGGUAAGGUAACGGCCUACCAAGGCAACGAUGCGUAGCCGACCUGAGAGGAUGAUCAGCCACACUGGAACUGAGACACGGUCCAGACUCCUACGGGAGGCAGCAGUAGGGAAUCUUCCACAAUGGGCGAAAGCCUGACGGAGCAACGCCGCGUGAGUGAUGAAGGUCUUCGGAUCGUAAAACUCUGUUAUUAGGAAAGAACAGAUGUAUAAGAAUCUGCGGACAUCUUGACGGUACCUAAUCAGAAAGCCACGGCUAACUACGUG